AUUGAACGCUGGCGGCAGGCCUAACACAUGCAAGUCGAACGAGUGGCGGACGGGUGAGUAAUAUCUGGGAAACUGCCUGAUGGAGGGGGAUAACUACUGGAAACGGUAGCUAAUACCGCAUACCAUGAGAUGUGCCCAGAUGUGAUUAGCUAGUUGUUGGGGUAACGGCUCACCAAGGCGACGAUCCCUAGCUGGUCUGAGAGGAUGACCAGCCACACUGGGACUGAGACACGGCCCAGACUCCUACGGGAGGCAGCAGUGGGGAAUAUUGCACAAUGGGCGCAAGCCUGAUGCAGCCAUGCCGCGUGUAUGAAGAAGGCCUUAGGGUUGUAAAGUACUUUCAGCGGGGAGGCGUUACCCGCAGAAGAAGCACCGGCUAACUCCGUGCCAGCAGCCGCGGUAAUUC
rnacentral:rRNA from 1 species